rnacentral:rRNA from 1 species
UACGGAGGGGGCUAGCGUUGUUCGGAAUUACUGGGCGUAAAGCGCACGUAGGCGGACUGUUAAGUCGGGGGUGAAAUCCUGGGGCUCAACCUCAGAAUUGCCUCCGAUACUGGCAGUCUCGAGUGCGGGAGAGGUGAGUGGAAUUCCCAGUGUAGAGGUGAAAUUCGUAGAUAUUGGGAAGAACACCAGUGGCGAAGGCGGCUCACUGGCCCGUAACUGACGCUGAGGAACGAAAGCUAGGGGAGCAAACAGG